UUGGGGAAGAAGCAGUGACGGUACCCAAAGAACACGCCACGGCUAACUACGUGCCAGCAGCCGCGGUAACACGUAGGUGGCGAGCGUUGUCCGGAAUUACUGGGUGUAAAGGGCGUGUAGGCGGAGACUGCAGUCAGAUGUGAAAGCCCAUGGCUGAACUGUGGGACUGCAUCUGAACUGGUAUCUCUUGAGUGCUGGAGAGGGAAGUGGAAUUCCUAGUGUAGCGGUGAAAUGCGUAGAGAUUAGGAGGAACACCAGUGGCGAAGGCGGCUUCCUGGACAGUAACUGACGCUGAGGCGCGAAAGCGUGGGGAGCGAACAGGAUUAGAUACCCUGGUAGUCCACGCCGUAAACGAUGGAUACUAGGUGUAGGGGGUAUCGACCCCUUCUGUGCCGGAGUUAACACAAUAAGUAUCCCACCUGGGGAGUACGGCCGCAAGGUUGAAACUCAAAGGAAUUGACGGGGGCCCGCACAAGCAGUGGAGUAUGUGGUUUAAUUCGAAGCAACGCGAAGAACCUUACCAGGGCUUGACAUCCUCUGACCGCUCUGGAAACAGAGUUUUCCUACGGGACAGAGAGACAGGUGGUGCAUGGUUGUCGUCAGCUCGUGUCGUGAGAUGUUGGGUUAAGUCCCGCAACGAGCGCAACCCCUAUUGUUAGUUGCCAGCAAGUAAAGUUGGGCACUCUAGCGAGACUGCCGGUGACAAAUCGGAGGAAGCUGGGGAUGACGUCAAAUCAUCAUGCCCCUUAUGUCCUGGGCUACACACGUACUACAAUGGCUGUUACAGCGGGGAGCUAAGCCGCAAGGUGGAGCAAAUCCCAAAAAACAGUCCCAGUUCGGAUUGUGGGCUGCAACCCGCCCACAUGAAGUCGGAAUUGCUAGUAAUGGCAGGUCAGCAUACUGCCGUGAUACGUUCCCGGGCAUUGUACACACCGCCCGUCACACCAUGAGAGUUUGCAACACCCGAAGUCAGUAGUCU
rnacentral:rRNA from 1 species